UUUUUACGGAGAGUUUGAUCCUGGCUCAGGAUGAACGCUGGCGGCGUGCUUAACACAUGCAAGUCGAACGAUGAAGCCCAGCUUGCUGGGUGGAUUAGUGGCGAACGGGUGAGUAACACGUGAGUAACCUGCCCUUGACUCUGGGAUAAGCCUGGGAAACUGGGUCUAAUACUG
rnacentral:rRNA from 1 species